UACGGAGGAUGCGAGCGUUAUCCGGAUUUAUUGGGUUUAAAGGGUGCGUAGGCGGAUUGAUAAGUCAGUGGUGAAAUUCUACAGCUUAACUGCAGAACUGCCGUUGAUACUGAUAGUCUUGAGUUUGGUUAAGGUAGGCGGAAUGUGUAAUGUAGCGGUGAAAUGCUUAGAUAUUACACAGAACACCAAUUGCGUAGGCAGCUUACUGAGCCGACACUGACGCUGAGGCACGAAAGCGUGGGGAUCAAACAGGAUUAGA
rnacentral:rRNA from 1 species